GAUGAACGCUGGCGGCGUGCCUAAUACAUGCAAGUCGAGCGAACAGACGAGGAGCUUGCUCCUCUGACGUUAGCGGCGGACGGGUGAGUAACACGUGGAUAGCCUACCUAUAAGACUGGGAUAACUUCGGGAAACCGGAGCUAAUACCGGAUAAUAUAUUGAACCGCAUGGUUCAAUAGUGAAAGACGGUUUUGCUGUCACUUAUAGAUGGAUCCGCGCCGCAUUAGCUAGUUGGUAAGGUAACGGCUUACCAAGGCAACGAUGCGUAGCCGACCUGGGAGGGUGGUCGGCCACACUAGAACUGAGCCACGGUCCCAGCUCCUACGGGAGGCAGAAGUCGGGAAUCUUCCGCAAUGGGCGAAAGCCUGACGGAGCAACGCCGCGUGAGUGGUGAUGGUCUUCGGAUCGUAAAACUCUGUUAUUAGGGAAGAACAAAUGUGUAAGUAACUAUGCACGUCUUGACGGUACCUAAUCAGAAAGCCACGGCUAACUACGUG
rnacentral:rRNA from 1 species